AAGAGAGGCGGGAAAACAGAGAAAAGAGACAGAGGAGAAGGUGACGCGGGAAGAGAAAGAUCAGAGAAGAGUUGCUGCUCGGAAGUUUGACGUGAAAGAAGAAGAAGACAGAAGAGAGCGGAACAGAAAUGGAGGUGCUGGCGCGCGAAAUCUGCUGGGGAAAGGCCCAAAAUGGGAGUUGGAACGGGCCAAGAGAAGGAGAGAACAGAAUCUAUAAGAGGAGGUGUUUGGCGAUUUGGAAAGUGGAAGAUCCGUUGGCAGAGUGAAAAAAAUAGAAGAAAAAAGAGAGAAGAGCAUAUUAGAGGGAGCAAGCCGAGGGAAAGGAGAUAAGUUUGGGGUGAGAUUGAGGGAAAGAGACUGAGAUUACAAGAAAGAGGGAGUAGAGAAAGGCAGUUUGGGAAGAUAGAGGAGGCAGGCAUUGGUUUUCGAAGGUUUGUGUGAGCAGACGGGGUUUUUGGAUUGGGGGAAUGCAGAACGAAGGAGAGGAGAAAGGUUUUUGAAUUAGGGUUUAGGGGAAAGUGUUGCCAGGUUUUUGGAACGAUUGAGGAAAUGGGAACCUUUUAUUGAGAAAAAUUCGGGGAACCUUAGAUUCAGAAGGAGAGUAAAGAACAGAGGCCGAGCAGGAGAAAGUCUUCACUUGUGGAAUCUGGGCUUCGAGUGAAUUGGCUAAACUCAGCAUAAGAAAAGGUCAAUGAAAUACAGAGUUUUGUUUGAACAUGGAACGAGUUUCAAUCUUCUCAUGAAAUCAAGAGGAUCAGAAGCUACUUUACAUGAUUUUCACCUUCCUAAUCUACGUUUGAAAUUAGUGCUCCAUCCUUCAGGAUGGACGACGGGGCCCAUGUCGGUGUAGAUGUAGACCACCUUAGGAGCGGCCAUCCAAGCCCUGCCCAGGGAGGUGCCCCUUCCAAAGAUGAAAUCAACAGUUCCUUCCACGUAGCAAUCCUUGAAGAAGUGGAAGCCUCUGUCGUCACACAGUGUGUCUUGGAAGCCGAUGAAUCUGCAGCUGUAGAAUGCAGCCCAGUUUCCGUCGAUCCUCGUUGCAAGAGCUUGUGGCCCUUUAGUUUUUGAAUAGUCCGGCCUUGGCGAAGAAUUCUGAAUCAACCAUUAUAUGUCGAGUUUAAGAAAUCAUGUAGUGGAGAAAAAAUAACUC